rnacentral:lncRNA from 1 species
CGGUUCUCCAGGAAAGGAGAACCUAGUGCCUCUCCUGAAGGUAAAAUCCAGUACAAAUAAACAUAGAGAAAAAUUGGAAGGCGCUUCUGGAAAGUACUUAUUUCAACCUUCUCUCAGCCCAUCCCAGUGAAGUUUCAGGGGAUUAAAGUCUUCCAUCUAGCCAAGAACAGGACCAUCAAAAAUUAUACUAUGAGUCACAUGGCAUCACUUCUGCAGUGUUCCACUGAUCAUCCAGACCAAUCCUGAUAUCGUCUGGGAGGGUAUUAUCCGGAGAGUGACAGACAGGAGGCAGAGAUCACUGCAAGCCAUCUUAAAGGCAGGCUACCACAGCUACCCCUCCAGGUAAUGAACUGUUAAUAUUUGCUUUAAAACUCUGAAUUCCUGUUUCAAGUAACCUCUUUUCCCUAGUGCAUUCAAGUUUAUAUUACCCUUGGGAAUUAAAAAAAUUGAAAAUGUAUAAAUAUUAGUGCUGGACUUUGUGUUGCCCCUCCAGAAGUAUGUUCAAGAGAAGAGUUUCUUUUGGAGGGCAGGGGAAAUAGUCUGGAAUCAGAUUGUGAUGAUACUUGCAUAACAUUAUGAGUAUAUAAUACUAAAACCAUUGAACUGUGCACUUUAAAAUGCUUAAAAUAAGUUAUGUGAAUUUUAUCUCAAAAAAUGACUUAAAAAGAGAGGGCAUGAAUAGUAUUAUUAUCAAAUUGGCUGGCUUAGAAAGACUUAGGGUAGCUUUUAGCUCUUUCUGCUCUAUUUGUUUUGUCAGCUCAAAAUUUUAAGUAUGAUUAACAAGACACUAUUAGGUCCUGGGAAAAUGGAUUCAUGGAAAUAAAGCUCAUGAUAGGUUGGAAUGUGCUGGUGCAGUGUAAUGACAAGGGUUUUCAGAGCACGUUGGCAUACAUUCUUGUGAUCUGACUCCCAUGAUCCUUCCACUAAAACAAUAAUUAUGGCAUAUUUUAUUCUGGCCUAACAAGUGUUGAAAAUGUUAGUAAUGGACUUAUGUAUUGUUUGAGCAGUUCUCCCAAAUGCUUUUUUUUCGGGGCAUUUUUCACAAUUUGUGAUUUCACUUGGCAAUUGUUUUGCAUUAUGUUGUAGUGUGUUGUCAGUUAUUCGGAGAGACACCACAGUUUUUUGUCUUACAUUUAAUACUAUUUAUGGCUAUGAGACCUGAGUCUGCCAAAGCUUCUUGAGCAGUUUUAGCUGCAACGUAAGCAUCAUCCUUAUAAGUAAAUAGGAAAACAAAGUCAAUAUCAACUAGCACUGAUUGUCUCCAUAUACAAGAAAUCAUGUAUAUUGCAUCAUUUAAUAUUAAGCAAUUGUCCUGAAUAGUUGUUAGUCUUGCCAUUGAGCUUCAGAUUGACCUUUCCCAGAGGUCAAAUAACCAGUUAAAAAUAUAUCACCAAAACUACAAUGCUCAAAUACAAGAUAUCUGUCCACUUUGAAGCAAUUCAGUGUAUCAUAAUCAAAUUGAACUGCAAUUAAUAAUAUUGAAUUCAUUCAACUAGAUAUGUACAAAGAUUAUAUGUCAGCUGGAACUCUCCAAGAAGCCAUUGUAGGAUAAGCUGAAAUGGCACAACUACUUAGAGGAAGGAGAGAAAUAAACAAACAAUUUUAGGUGCCCUAAACCACAUUUCAAAAUCAUUUAGCUUAGUAAGAGGAGCUCUUUGAAACAGCAACUUAUAGAUAGAUUACUUUGGAAUAUUGCUAACCAGAAAACAUCAAUUGUGGAGAAUCACCUUACAGGAAUACUAACAUUUCAUAGUAAAUAGUUAAAAAAAAGAUUUAAUCUUGAAAAGUAACCAGGGGAAUUGUAAAUAUAAGCUUAUUUUAUCUUAUAUUUAAUAAAAUAUUGGUUUUCAUUGCAUGUAUAUAUUAAUUCUUUAAAAUGAACAAACAAUAAAGGAAAUGUUUAUGUA